rnacentral:rRNA from 1 species
UACGAAGGGGGCUAGCGUUGUUCGGAAUUACUGGGCGUAAAGCGCGCGCAGGUGGUCUUUCAAGUCAGUGGUGAAAGCCCGGAGCUCAACUCCGGAAAUGCCAUUGAAACUGUGAGACUUGAGGACGAGAGAGGUGAGUGGAAUUCCCAGUGUAGAGGUGAAAUUCGUAGAUAUUGGGAAGAACACCGGUGGCGAAGGCGACUCACUGGACACGUAUUGACGCUGAGGUGCGAAAGCGUGGGGAGCAAACAGG